rnacentral:rRNA from 1 species
AUACAUUCACUUUGGUGUUCGUACCGCAAACCGACACAGGUAGGCGGGGAGAGCAUCCCAAGGCGCUUGAGAGAACUCUGGUUAAGGAACUCGGCAAAUUGGCACCGUAACUUCGGGAGAAGGUGUGCCGCUGCUGGUGAGGCGCCUCGCGCGCGGAGCUGGCGGCGGUUGCAGUGACCUGGGGGGAGCGACUGUUUACUAAAAACACAGGACUCUGCGAAGUCGCAAGACGAAGUAUAGGGUCUGACGCCUGCCCGGUGCCGGAAGGUUAAGGGGACGCGUUAGCCGUAAGGCGAAGCGCAGAACCGAAGCCCCGGUAAACGGCGGCCGAACUAUAACGGCCUAAGGUAGCGAAAUUCCUUGUCGGGUAAGUUCCGACCUGCACGAAUGGCGUAACGAUUUCCCCACUGUCUCAACCAGAGUCUCAGCGAAACUGUAGUACCGGUGAAGAUGCCGGUUACCCGCAACAAGACAGAAAGACCCCGUGAACCUUUACUACAGCUUGGCAUUGUAUUUUGGGUUAGCAUGUGUAGGAUAGGUGGGAGACGAGGAAGCCGUGACGCCAGUCACGGUGGAGUCGCCCUUGAAAUACCACCCUUGCUAACCUAGGGUACUAACCGCGUUCCCUGAACGGGAACCGGGACAUUGUCAGGUGGGUAGUUUGACUGGGGCGGUCGCCUCCCAAAGAGUAACGGAGGCGCGCGAAGGUUCCCUCAGGCUGAUUGGAAACCAGCCGUAGAGUGUAAAGGCAUAAGGGAGCUUGACUGCGAGAGAGACAUCUCGAGCAGGUAGGAAACUAGGUCUUAGUGAUCCGGCGGCGCUGUAUGGAAGGGCCGUCGCUCAACGGAUAAAAGGUACUCCGGGGAUAACAGGCUUAUCUCCCCCAAGAGUCCACAUCGACGGGGAGGUUUGGCACCUCGAUGUCGGCUCAUCACAUCCUGGGGCUGGAGCAGGUCCCAAGGGUUCGGCUGUUCGCCGAUUAAAGUGGUACGUGAGCUGGGUUUAAAACGUCGUGAGACAGUUUGGUCCUUAUCUGUUGCGGGCGUAGGAUAUUUGAGGAGAGCUGUUCCUAGUACGAGAGGACCGGAAUGGACGAACCAAUGGUGUACCGGUUGUCGCGCCAGCGGCUAUAGCCGGGUAGCUACGUUCGGGCCGGGGAUAACCCGUUGGAAAGGCUUCUAAAGGCGGGGAAGCCCAAUUUCCAAGGAUACGGAUAUCCGGUUAACGGCAAGUUCCCAGAAGGGCUCCGUGGUAGACUUAACAAGGUUAGAAUAGGGUCCGGAUGUUGGAAGCCGUGCAAACCACCGGUUGGAAGCUGACCGGGAUUACGCUUA